rnacentral:rRNA from 1 species
UGGAAACAGCUAUGACCAUGAUUACGCCAAGCUAUUUAGGUGACACUAUAGAAUACUCAAGCUAUGCAUCCAACGCGUUGGGAGCUCUCCCAUAUGGUCGACCUGCAGGCGGCCGCGAAUUCACUAGUGAUUAGAGUUUGAUCCUGGCUCAGGAUGAACGCUGGCGGUCUGCUUAACACAUGCAAGUCGAACGGACUCUUCGGAGUUAGUGGCGGACGGGUGAGUAACGCGUGAGAAUCUACCUUCAGGACGGAGACAACAGUUGGAAACGACUGCUAACCCCCGAUGAACCGAAAGGGCAAAUAUUUAUAGCCUGAAGAAGAGCUCGCGUCCGAUUAGCUAGUUGGAGAGGUAAAAGCUCACCAAGGCGACGAUCGGUAGCUGGUCUGAGAGGACGAUCAGCCACACUGGGACUGAGACACGGCCCAGACUCCUACGGGAGGCAGCAGUGGGGAAUUUUCCGCAAUGGGCGAAAGCCUGACGGAGCAAGACCGCGUGGGGGAAGAAGGCUCUUGGGUCGUAAACUCCUUUUCUCUGGGAAGAACAAAAUGACGGUACCAGAGAAUCAGCUCCGAUUCGGCC